rnacentral:misc_RNA from 1 species
GAAAUGCGAUAAGUAAUGUGAAUUGCAGAAUUCAGUGAAUCAUCGAAUCUUUGAACGCACAUUGCGCCCCUUGGUAUUCCGAGGGGCAUGCCUGUUCGAGCGUCAUUACACCACUCAAGCUAUGCUUGGUAUUGGGUGCCGUCCUUAGUUGGGCGCGCCUUAAAGACCUCGGCGAGGCCUCACCGGCUUUAGGCGUAGUAGAAUUUAUUCGAACGUCUGUCAAAGGAGAGGACUUCUGCCGACUGAAACCUUUUAUUUUUCCAGGUUGACCUCGGAUCAGGUAGGGAUACCCGCUGAACUUAAGC